rnacentral:rRNA from 1 species
UACGUAGGGGGCAAGCGUUGUCCGGAAUCAUUGGGCGUAAAGCGCGCGUAGGCGGCCCGAUAAGUCUGCUGUGAAAGUCCAGGGCUCAACCCUGGAAUGCCGGUGGAUACUGUCGGGCUAGAGUUCGGAAGAGGCAAGUGGAAUUCCUGGUGUAGCGGUGGAAUGCGCAGAUAUUAGGAGGAACACCUAUAGCGAAGGCAGCUUGCUGGGACGACACUGACGCUGAGGCGCGAAAGCGUGGGGAGCGAACAGG